rnacentral:lncRNA from 1 species
ACAGAUUUCCAUAAUGAAUAACAAAUAUAUUUUUCUGAAGUUCAACCUUCAAUAAUUAUUUCUAUAAAGGUUCUUAUGUUUUCAAAUAUAUUCCCGCCGUUAAAAUCCGUUAGAAAAAUUUAGUUAACAAUAAUAAGUUAAAUACUUAAUCCUGGUUAGUUUUUGAUAUUUUUACUUCUCUUAUAUUAUACUGUUAUUUUUUUGGAGGAAUAUAUUUGAAAACAUAAGAACCUUUAUAGAAAAUAUAAACAGUUAUUUAAUAAUUCUCUAAUGGUAACAAAUCAGAGGAACAUAUUUGAAAAUAUUAGAACUUUUCAAGAAUAACAUAAGAAAGUUGAACUUUGUAGAAAUAUAUUUGCCAUUUAUUAUAUUUAUA